CAGUAGCCGCGGGAAAACGUAGGGUGCGAGCGUUAAUCGGAAUUACUGGGCGUAAAGCGUGCGCAGGCGGCUUUGCAAGACAGAUGUGAAAUCCCCGGGCUCAACCUGGGAACUGCAUUUGUGACUGCAAGGCUAGAGUGCGGCAGAGGGAGAUAGAAUUCCGCGUGUAGCAGUGAAAUGCGUAGAUAUGCGGAGGAACACCGAUGGCGAAGGCAAUCUCCUGGGCCUGCACUGACGCUCAUGCACGAAAGCGUGGGGAGCAAACAGGAUUAGAUACCCGAGUAGUCCCUGUCUCUUAUAC
rnacentral:rRNA from 1 species